rnacentral:tRNA from 1 species
GAGGUUAUAGCUCAGUGGUAGAGUGCGUGCUUAGCAUGCACAAGGUCCUGGGUUCAAUCCCUGGUGUCGCCA